CCGGCACGGGUGAGUAACACGUAUGCAAUCCACCUGUAACAGGGGGAUAACCCGGAGAAAUCCGGACUAAUACCCCAUAAUAUGGGCGCUCCGCAUGGAGAGCCCAUUAAAGAGAGCAAUUUUGGUUACAGACGAGCAUGCGCUCCAUUAGCCAGUUGGCGGGGUAACGGCCCACCAAAGCGACGAUGGAUAGGGGUUCUGAGAGGAAGGCCCCCCACAUUGGUACUGAGACACGGACCAA
rnacentral:rRNA from 1 species